rnacentral:rRNA from 1 species
AUCAGCCGGUACUCGCGAAUGCUCUAGAUUAAAGUUUGAUCAUGGCUCAGACUGAAGCGCUUAGCGGCAGGCCUAACACAUGCAAGUCGAACGGUAGCACAGAGAGCUUGCUCUCGGGUGACGAGUGGCGGACGGGUGAGUAAUGUCUGGGAAACUGCCCGAUGGAGGGGGAUAACUACUGGAAACGGUAGCUAAUACCGCAUAAUGUCGCAAGACCAAAGANGGGGACCUUCGGGCCUCUUGCCAUCGGAUGUGCCCAGAUUGGAUUAGCUUGUUAGGUGGGGUAACGGCUCACCAAGGCGACGAUCCCUUCUGUCUGAGAGAUGACCAGCAAUGGAACUGAGACCACGGUACAGAACUCCUUACNGGAAGGCAGCAGGUGGGGAACUAUUGCACAAUGGGCGCAAGCCUGAUGCAGACAUGCCGACGUGUAUUGAAGAAGCCUUCNGGGUUGG